UACGUAGGGGGCAAGCGUUGUCCGGAAUCAUUGGGCGUAAAGCGCGUGUAGGCGGCCCGGUAAGUCCGCUGUGAAAGUCGGGGGCUCAACCCUCGGAUGCCGGUGGAUACUGUCGGGCUUGAGUACGGAAGAGGCGAGUGGAAUUCCGUGGUGUAGCGGUGAAAUGCGCAGAUAUCAGGAGGAACACCAAUUGCGAAGGCAGCUCGCUGGGACAUUACUGACGCUGAGACGCGAAAGCGUGGGGAGCAAACAGG
rnacentral:rRNA from 1 species